rnacentral:rRNA from 1 species
UUGGAGGGCAAGUCUGGUGCCAGCAGCCGCGGUAAUUCCAGCUCCAAUAGCGUAUAUUAAAGUUGUUGCAGUUAAAAAGCUCGUAGUUGAAUUUCGGGAUCAAGGGAUCGGUCAUGCCUUGGUAUGUACUGGUCUUAUUGGUUCUCACCUUCUAAAGAACCAUGAUGUCAUUCAUUUGAUGUUAUGGGGAAUUAGGACUGUUACCUUGAAAAAAUUAGAGUGUUUAAAGCAAGCUUACGCUUGAAUACAUUAGCAUGGAAUAAUGAAAUAGGACAUCAGAUUCUAUUUUGUUGGUUUCUAGGAUCGAUGUAAUGAUUAAUAGGGAUAGUUGGGGGCAUUAGUAUUCAAUUGUCAGAGGUGAAAUUCUUGGAUUUAUUGAAGACUAACUACUUCGAAAGCAUUUGCCAAGGAUGUUUUCAUUAAUCAAGAACGAAAGUUAGGGGAUCGAAGACGAUCAGAUACCGUCGUAGUCUUAACCAUAAACUAUGCCGACUAGGGAUCGGAUGAUGUUAAUUUUUUAAUGACCCAUUCGGCGCCUUACGGGAAAC